ensembl:lncRNA
CUGAAUAAACAAACAUUUGAAGGAAGUUUUCCAAUAAUUCUAACAAACUUUUCUGCUUUCUCUGUGUAGUGUUCACCAAUUGACAUGAUGGCCAUCUUCCAGGUGGCAAGAUCUUCAGUAUUUUGGGGGAUAUCUCUCAAUAUUGCUUCGUGCAACAGUUCAUCAAUCCCCAUACUACAGGUAGAGACAAAGGAAUCCCACAGAACUCAUCUAAGAAACUUCAAUGGCUGCAAAGCCUAAAAUAGUAUCACUGGAGGAUACUAUGGAUCACAGAAACCUCAUAGAAGGUGUGCAAAAUCAUUAGUUCAAAAUGGAACCUUACCUUGUAGCAACGAGGUCAGUGGACUGAGAACUGAGGCACUCCUGUCUGUUUGCCAUGGAGACAGCAUUGGACAGUUGUUGUUUUUUUUUCUUUUUUUUUCUCAGUUGUAAUUAUCUCUGAAAUAAUUAAACAAGAUCAAUAUCACAGAGAGGCAGUGAGAAUUACUGGGAUCUGUAGUGUGUUUUGAAACACUAAAAAAAAAAAGCACUUAUCUAGUCCUGACUACAAAUAUCCACCACGACAACAUCACCAUAUAUUACUAAUGCACAGAGGCAUAGAUUACUGAAGACAACAGGUAGUAUGAUAGAUGAGCAUGACAUAACUACUUGAGCUAGCAAGAGAAACACUUUUUCUCAUGGACAGAGCCCACAGCAUGUUUGCAUGGAGUAGUUUGUUUUCUCCAGAGCAACGAUGACAUUUAGAUCAUCUUCUGUGCUAUAAAUGGAAUACUGUGAUCUGCUGAACAUUUGCUACCUAGAAGACCAUUUCCUGGUGCCUGAGUCAUUAACUUUCUUGGAUGACAUUGCCACAUCUGUAAUGAAAAGAUGUAAUGCGCUGCUAAUUUAUGAGGCUACUCCAGUGCUGAUAUUUUAAACUACUCGGGUGUGAAUAGCAAAUGCUGGCUGGUAUUUGAAAUCUCUUUGGCAAUAUUAGCUCACUGUGGAUGGUAUUUGAAAUCAUUUUGGCAUUCUGGGGCAUCAGAAGCAGAUAGAACAGUAGUGGCCAAUGCAGGCACUGAAAUAUUUCCCAAGGAUAAGGCUUUAUUUCCGCUGAUAGGAGAGGAGUGCAUGUGAAGAAGAAUUUAACAGGGCUGCUGGUUCUUCGAUCAGUUCUUUGAAGAAAAUACAUUCAGCAGUGUUCCUGGAGAAAAUGAAACCACUGACUUUGGAUUCAUCCUCUAACAAAAGAUGGGGAGGAGGCAAAACUCACUUCUGUGAGAAAGGCAGAGCUGAAAGGUAAAAGGUGGUUCUCACUUUACAGAGUAGAAAAUGUACAGCCAUUUUCUGUAGGUCCUAUUGUAAGCCUUCAGGGGACAGUUAUUGCCAUCUAGUGCGAGCUUAAGUAUAAUAUAAACCAGAAAACUGUACCCAGUCAAUGUGCUUUGAGCCCAAUAACCUCCACUCAAUGUAGGUCAGCGCCUUUAAAACAUCUGCGGGCUUGGUUCUAGAAAUACCUAACAGGUACAGUUCCUCUGAUCACUAUGGCAUGUUACUAGAUCAUUUGAGCAUCCAAACAGUUGCCACAAUUCUAAUUUCACCACUUACCUUCUUGAUGCUCAUUGAUUGUCUUGUGGUGACAGAGAAAGGCUAAUAAACUAUUAACAUUUAAACA